GACGAACGCUGGCGGCGUGCCUAAUACAUGCAAGUAGAACGCAGUUGCGAACGGGUGAGUAACGCGUAGGUAACUGCCUCAUAGCGGGGGAUAACUAUUGGAAACGCUAGCUAAUACCGCAUACUGUGAGAUGGACCUGCGUUGUAUUAGGGAGUGGGUGGGGUAAAGGCUCACCAAGGCGACGAUACAUAGCCGACCUGAGAGGGGGAACUGGCAACCCGGGAAUGGGGAACGGGCCCGACGCCGACGGGAGGCAGUAGGAGGGAAUGUUUGGGAAUGGAAGGAAGGCUGAACGAGCAACGGCGCGGGAGUGAAGAAGGUUUUCGGAUCGUAAAGCUCUGUUGGUAGAGAAGCGGUAACUAACCAGAAAGGGACGGCUAACUACGUGCCAGCAGCCGCGGUAAUUC
rnacentral:rRNA from 1 species